rnacentral:lncRNA from 1 species
CUUGGGCCACUCCCGUGGCAUAUGGAGGGUCCCAGGCUAGUGGUCUAAUCGGAGCUGCAGCUGCCAGCCUAUACCACAGCCACAGCAACGCGGGAUCCGAGCCGAGUCUGCAACCUACACCACAGUUCACGGCAACGCCGGACUGUUAACCCACUGAGCAAGGGCAGGGACCGAACCCGCAACCUCAUGGUUCCUAGUCGGAUUCGUUAACCACUGCGCCACGACGGGAACUCCUAUAGGAGUGGCCAGCUUGCUGGAGAAUAACAUCAAUUUCAAAUUCUUGGCUUGGGUAUAGAAUUCAUAGGCCGGCCACUUCUUCCAUUUGGCAGAGACAAAAUCAAGUCCAUCGGAUGGUGGCUUUGCAUGUCCAUACUUGUCAGCGUGACCAAAGCACAGCCUUAAGGGAGCAAAGGCUACAGCAAGAUGAAGAAGUUCAAACUCAAAAGUGAGAUUCACUGGUUUCAAGGAAUUUUUUUUUUUUUAAAUGAGACUCUCAUUCCUUAAAGACAUACCCUCAACUGAAAAUACACACGCCAAAACCAAAACAACCCAAAAAAACCCCACCAUGAAUUACUCUUUCACCAAAUUCCUACAAAACCACGGUGGAUCAGCCUAUUCAUAAGAAAAUGACGUCUUCCACAGCAUGUAUCUCAAGCAAAAACUAAGCUGGGCAAAUAGUCAAGCCUAUUUUCUUUACUGUUCUAGGACAUUUCAUGGUGUCUAUUUCUCAGUAUUGGGUUUCUAAUUAAACUGGAUUUGCUUAGGUUUGUUUGAAAUGGUAUGUAUAUACAUUUAGCUAUUAAUAAGUAUAACAAUAUACUUGUAGUAAGUUCAUUAUAUACUUAUAUGAUAUACAUAGAAUAUGUUAUUAACUCAUCAGUAAGUAUAAGAAAUCAUCGGCUGACUGUGGCCCCAAGUUGUCCCAGAGGGGAUUUGAAUUUUUGGGGGGUGUACACCACAGCAAUUUAUAAUUUUUAAGGGUUAUACUCCAUUUAUAGUUAUAUUGGCUGUAUUUCCUAUGAUUUACAAUACAUCCUUGUAGUUUAUUUAAUUUUUGCUUUUUAGGGCCACACCUACGGCAUAUGGAAGUUCCCAGGCUAGGGGUUGAAUGGGAGCUACAGCUGCCAGCCUACACCACAGCCACAGCAACUCGGGAUUUGAGCUGCAUCUGCAACCAACACCACAGCUCACAGUAACACUGGAUCCCCGACCCACUGAGCGAGGUCAGGGAUCAAACUCACAUCCUCAUGGAUACUCAUUGGAUUUUUUUCCACUGUAGCACAACAGGGAACUCCUAUUUUAUACUUAGUGGUUUGUACCUCUUAAUCCCCUACCCCUGUUGCCCUCCUUCCCUCUCCCUGGUAACCACUAGUUUAUUCUUGGUAUCUGUUUUGUUUUUUUUUUAAAUAUUCACUCAUUUGUUGUAUUUUUCAGAUUCCACAUAUAAGUGAUAUCACAUAGCAUUUGUCUUUCUCUGACUUAUAUCACUUAGCAUAAUGCCCUCUAAGUCCAUCCAUGUUGUUACAAAUGGCAACAUUUCCUUCUUAGGAGGCACAUGGGGGUUUAAUAAACCUACUGAGGAUAAAGCUCAGCAGCUGUUCCAUGCCCUAAGCAAGUUGUCUGCUGAUUUCUUAGCAUGAACAAUUAAACCUGAAAAUAAACUUUUUAUUAAAUGCAAAGCUAGAGUUAUUAAAAGUGGCAUAUACUGGGCUAUGACUUCACUGAUAAUUGAAUUAGUACACUGUCAUUUUUCUUUACUUUGCCUCAAUGUGUUCUUCAUUAAAGUGAAAAAAAUAACAAUUUUUAAAAAAGCAUAUUAUCCUUAAUCCAUUGCAUUAGCCUAGUUAUUAGUUAAAUCAUUGUUGGAAGGAAAAGUGGUCCCACUGCUGUUCUUCUAUUAAAUGACUAUAACUUUAAAUGAGCUGUAGCUAACGGAAGAGAGCUCAGACUGUCUUCUGAAACUGUAGCAGUUGCAAGAAAACAAAAAUACAGAAGUUCCAAUUACUUCCUAAUGUUCACUUCACAUAUCAUAUAUGAAAUCAAAUUCCAGAAAUUAUAAUGUCCAUUCCUGUGAAAUGGCUGCAAAUUCAACCUGGUUUUAAAAUUUUGUGUUGAAGAAAGAUUUUUUUUUUAAAAAAAAGAACUUAAAAUCUUUACCAAGCACCUGGUAGGUCUACUGAUGUUGUUUUUAGUUCUACUGACAAGCUCUAUAAAACACAGGUGCUUAGGAGUUCCCGUUGCGGCUCAGCAGUUAACGAACACGACUAGGAUUCAUGAGGAUGUGGAUUCGAUCCCUGGCCUCGUUCAGUGGGUUAAAGAUCUGGCGUUGCUGUGAGCUGUGGUAUAGGUUGCAGAAGCUGCUUGGAUCUGGUGUGUCUGUGACUGUGGUGUAGGCCAGCAGCUGUAGUUCUGAUUGGACCCCUUGCCUGGGAACCUCCAUAUGCCGCGGGUGUGGCCCUAGAAAAAUUAAAAAUAAAACAUAGGUGCUUAAAGUUGUUUUGUUUUUAAACAUUCUCACUCUAAGAUGGCACAAACUGUUAAGAAAGUAAUAUACUAAAACUAGGUAUUUGUAUUGCCAACCCAUAAUCCUGAAUAUCUUUUAUUCAGAACAUAGCUUGUGUAGCUUCCACUUGGUUCCUUAUUCAUUUUCUCCUUUCACUUUAUUAAAAUAAAUCAGUAAAACUAUCCACAAUUUAAGACAACAGCAAGGCCUAUAAAUGCAGGUUUCGGAUUCAAAUUUCUCUGGGAAAUGUUUUCCUUCCAAUUCUCUCUGCCCUGGGAUUUCAUGUUUUCCCUUUUAUUGGUGGCAUCCAAUACCUCCAAUUUUUAACAUUUUCAGACAUGUGUUUCUCUGUAGGUUAAAAGGAAGGAAGUUUAUUCAAACAGCUAAUUCCCAAGUUUAAAGUUCUCAUAUAAUGUAGUUUUUGCUCACGUCUCAAUGACAUAAUUCCCUAAGCUUAAACCAUCAAACAUGAUUACCUCUCUUUGUGCAAAAAGCCACAUACUACAAAUAGUUUUUGUCACAAAACGGUAUUCAUGUAUAAAAGAAAGAAUAGAUACAAGAUUUUACUUAUAAAAGAUUGCUAAAAUAUGUAGCUCCCUUAUAAUCAUAUACUGUUGAACUGCUCCAACUGACUAGUUCUCAACACCAUUUUCUCAGCAAACUUUGCUUUCUCUCUUCCUGCUAAGCAGAAACCUUAAAAAACAGAUCAGAAGCAUUUUAAUGAAGUAGAUGAAAACAGCCAAAAGUUCUUGAAGCCCUACAGAAAAACUGUAGAUGUGAUCAGGCCCUGACAUGUCACGUCUUCUGUACCCUCAUCGUCUCUCCUGCCCUAUUUCACAUACUCUGGUAAGUCGGUUCCUCUGGCUACUGGAUACGACCUGAGAUUUAAAAAGCAAAAACGCUGUCAUAAUACGCUUUGUAAAAUCUUGAAUGUCGUAAAGGAAGUGGAAGAGGCAUUUACCUACAGUGUGAUUUGGUUUUUGCCAUAAAAAAGCAAAUUUAAACCUGAGAAGUAAAGAGCCCAUUGACUGCAUUCACUUACAGGAGAACAAGACUUCCUGACAGAAGUUCAAAUGCACCCUACCCCGUGGGCUGGGGAGUGUUAUACACCCCACACUGUCUUGGGGUGAAGCAGGAUUAUGGCUACGACAAUACUCCACAGUGGCCAGAUGCCACAAGUACAGUCAGUAGCAACGGAGUCAUUUCUAAGUCAGCUACAGAAAGUAACCCCAAAUAUCACUUCCCUAGAAAUACUGGCCAGUGCUCUAUCGGGAAAAUAGAUUUUGAAGAAUGACCCAUAAAACUUCAAAAUUGAGACCCCAUUCCUUAUCAUUCAAUAGGAAAUUUAAAAAAGAAAACCGAAAGGAUUUCGCUUUCCUAACGCAUGGCUACUCCUCUGCUUGGUUGUUCUUAAAAAUAAUUUAUGUAAAGCAGGAUUUUCUCUAAAUAUACCGUGCUCUCUCAUACACAUUGCAAAUGAUAUUUGCAUACACCGAGUGUAUGCACUGAUACACACAUGGUAAAAAGUUAAAAAAUAUAGACUGCAUAAAUCAGAAGCUGAUUUUAAACAGACACCAACUUCAACAGAUUUGUUUGCAAUUUCUGAACUCUUCAGGUAGAAAAGAUCUUUCUUGCUGGCUACGAUUGUAGAAGAUGUUUAUGUUCUAUAGAGUGUGCAAAAAUGCUUCUCCAUAUAAACAAAGAAAGAAAGGUUCCAGGAUCUUGGUAUUCUAACCUUGCCUUUGCUAUUAAAUAUCCAUCCAAUGACUGUGAGGAGACUGGUGAAAUCAGCCGGUCAUGCUACAGUAAACAUGGUAUUUUGUGCACUGCCCAAGACAUUUUUUCUCAUGAAUAUAAGUCACCUGCCAUUUAUUAUGAGAUUUUUUUUUCCCCGACUGACACCCCAUUAUGUAUAUUCAGUCAAGCUCAAACAAGAUUUCAAGUGAUCAAUACACUAUUGGUGCUGAAAGUCUAUUAGCCACUCUAGCAAUAAACUCUGCAGCGAAACGAAGAAUGGAGAAAUAUUUAGUGAACUGAAUUACACAGAAGUCCAUGUUUAGGGGCAAGGGAACAGAAAGAGGGAGGCAGAAAAGCAAGGGGAAGACAAGGGAAGGAAGACAUUUUUCCUAAUAAAAAUCAGCUUUCUGGAGCCUGACCAAUGAUCAAAUGCAUUAAAUGCCUAAGAAUUGUUUCAAAAAUAUCUUAAAUUACAUGGUGAGGUCUCUAAAGAAACAGGGAGGGGUCUUCCUCUGGGUCCCUUUCUGAGAACAGAGAGUUGCUUCCAUAAAGAACCAUACGUGGAAGUAUUUGAUAUCCCAAAGUGGAGAAGGCAGGCCGAUGGUAAAAUCCUGCACCAUCCAGUGUCUAUGUGUCCAAGAGCAAUGCCGUGUUUGAACACUUUUCACUUUAUAUCUGAAGCGUAGCAGAUCUCAACAGGGAGCUGAGCUCAAGAAGUAUUCUGGUUCAUCUAUGCAUUAGGAAAGCUAACUCAAUAGCCGCCAAAGGAUUUCACCUGGCACAAAAGAAUGCUGCU